rnacentral:rRNA from 1 species
CUCUUGAGAGCGGCGGACGGGUGAGUAAUGCCUAGGAAUCUGCCUAGUGGUGGGGGAUAACGUUCGGAAACGGACGCUAAUACCGCAUACGUCCUACGGGAGAAAGCGGGGGAUCUUCGGACCUCGCGCCAUUAGAUGAGCCUAGGUCGGAUUAGCUAGUUGGUGAGGUAAUGGCUCACCAAGGCGACGAUCCGUAACUGGUCUGAGAGGAUGAUCAGUCACACUGGAACUGAGACACGGUCCAGACUCCUACGGGAGGCAGCAGUGGGGAAUAUUGGACAAUGGGCGAAAGCCUGAUCCAGCCAUGCCGCGUGUGUGAAGAAGGUCUUCGGAUUGUAAAGCACUUUAAGUUGGGAGGAAGGGUAGUAACUUAAUACGUUGCUACUUUGACGUUACCGACAGAAUAAGCACCGGCUAACUUCGUGCCAGCAGCCGCGGUAAUACGAAGGGUGCAAGCGUUAAUCGGAAUUACUGGGCGUAAAGCGCGCGUAGGUGGUUCAGUAAGUUGGAUGUGAAAUCCCCGGGCUCAACCUGGGAACUGCAUCCAAAACUGCUGAGCUAGAGUACGGUAGAGGGUGGUGGAAUUUCCUGUGUAGCGGUGAAAUGCGUAGAUAUAGGAAGGAACACCAGUGGCGAAGGCGACCACCUGGACUGAUACUGACACUGAG